rnacentral:rRNA from 1 species
CUGGCGACCGGCGCAUGGGUGAGUAACACGUAUCCAACCUGCCGAUAACUCGGGGAUAGCCUUUCGAAAGAAAGAUUAAUACCCGAUGGCAUAAUUAGACCGCAUGGUUUGAUUAUUAAAGAAUUUCGGUUAUCGAUGGGGAUGCGUUCCAUUAGGCAGUUGGUGAGGUAACGGCUCACCAAACCUUCGAUGGAUAGGGGUUCUGAGAGGAAGGUCCCCCACAUUGGAACUGAGACACGGUCCAA